GCCGCGAUAGCUCAGCGGUAGAGCAUCCGAUUUGUAAUCGGACGGUCGUCAGUUCAAUCCUGACUCGCGGCUCCA
rnacentral:tRNA from 1 species